AUUGAACGCUGGUGGCAUGCCUUACACAUGCAAGUCGAACGGUAACGCGGGGCAACCUGGCGACGAGUGGCGAACGGGUGAGUAAUGUAUCGGAACGUGCCCAGUUGUGGGGGAUAACUGCUCGAAAGAGCAGCUAAUACCGCAUACGACCUGAGGGUGAAAGCGGGGGAUCGCAAGACCUCGCGCAGUUGGAGCGGCCGAUAUCAGAUCAGGUAGUUGGUGGGGUAAAGGCUCACCAAGCCAACGAUCUGUAGCUGGUCUGAAAGGACGACCAGCGACACGGGGACUGAGACACGGCCCAGACUCCUAAGGGAGGCAGCAGUGGGGAAUUUUGGACAAUGGGCGCAAGCCUGAUCCAGCCAUGCCGCGUGCGGGAAGAAGGCCUUCGGGUUGUAAACCGCUUUUGUCAGGGAAGAAAAGACUCCUGUUAAUACCGGGGGUUCAUGACGGUACCUGAAGAAUAAGCACCGGCUAACUACGUGCCAGCCGCCGCAGUAAAAC
rnacentral:rRNA from 1 species